AGCAGCCGCGGUAAUUCCAGCUCCAAUAGCGUAUAUUAAAGUUGUUGCAGUUAAAAAGCUCGUAGUUGAAUUUCGGGAUCAAUUUGCUGGUCGUGCCUUCGGUACGCACUGGUAUUAUUGGUUUCUCCUUUCUGAUGAAUCGCGAUGUCAUUAAUUUGGUGUCGUGGGGAAUCAGGACUGUUACUUUGAAAAAAUUAGAGUGUUUAAAGCAGGCUCACGCUUGAAUACAUUAGCAUGGAAUAAUGAAAUAGGACGUUUGAUUCUAUUUUGUUGGUUUCUAGGAUCGACGUAAUGAUUAAUAGGGAUAGUUGGGGGCAUUAGUAUUCAAUUGUCAGAGGUGAAAUUCUUGGAUUUAUUGAAGACUAACUACUGCGAAAGCAUUUGCCAAGGAUGUUUUCAUUAAUCAAGAACGAAAGCUAGGGGAUCGAAGACGAUCAGAUACCGUCGUAGUCUUAACCAUAAACCUAUGCCGACUAGGGAUCGGAUGAUGUAAUUUUUAAUGACUCAUUC
rnacentral:rRNA from 1 species